ACAGGAUGGCCAUCACUGUGCCAUCAUCCACACCUCUUCCUCAGACAACCAGGACCAGGACCAGACGGAGAUGGGAGGAACCUCAGAGUUGUAAGCACCGUCAAAUAAACACCCCAGAGUGUGAACCAGUAGCGGCAGUAGGAUUUAAAUAGUGUUACUGAGUAUAGUGUCUGAUUCAUCCAGUUGAAACAGGACAAUAGGAUAGCUGAUUGUCUGCUGAACAUCCCAAGGCUGUUUUCUACUGUUUUCUACUUCUCUAUCAUAAAUAUGGGAUCUUUGCAUUUUAUUAAUGGUAAUAUUUCAGUAGGGUGAUCCUGUGAUGUCAUUACCAUUACUGUGCUAUAUUAAUCAAUUGUAUAUAUAUUACGGUAAUCAAUCAACGUGAAAAUGAAAGUAUCCAAUCUCAUUUGACCUUUGACCUUAUGUGAUGCUUACAUUAACAAAAAAAUGUUUUUCAUGCCUCAUUCUGAUAUUUUUUGAUUUCAACGCUUUUUUAAUAAAUGACUACUUUUAAUGGGUUGACUCCAUCUAUUGUCACGUUCUCCUGAGGUAGGUCUAGUCGUAACACACACUUCUACAUUAUGUAGAUGUUUAGAUAUGAGUUUAAUAGGUUUAGGCAGUAUUUAGAAUCCUAUAAUGUGGGCAAGUGAAGGCCUUUGAGACUCUAGCUGUGAUUAAGAGCAAUGCAAUUCGUUCUACUCUGGUCCCACCAUCACUUUGAAAAGAUGUCUGUUUAGUAAGUGUUCUGCCCUGAAUAGGUUUUAUAUUAAAAGACACUUAAAGUUACUGUUGAAACGUUUUAUUGUUGCAAAGGUAUUGUGGAGCCUUUAUUUUGAAAGCAACCUAGUAACAGGAAGCAGGAAGUAACAGUGUAAACACAACGAGAGAAGACAUGAUGGCGUGUUUGUAUCACCUCAUGGCUGUUAAUCCUUGCGUAAUUCUUUGUGUGUAUCCCUCAGAAAGCAAUGACUUUUCACUCCGAUUCAAUGCUGUCAUCCUGACUUACCUGCUGUUUAAGAAGUCAAUAAAGGAGCAUGCACGCUCACUUCCUGGCUCUUGAAAA